ensembl:lncRNA
GCAGAGUCCACUCCUUCCUUUUGUGUCUGGCAACAAGCUGGAAAAUCCCUAAUCACGCGAUCUUUGGGUAAUUAAGCGGGAAAAGAAACGGGAAAAGACAGAAAUCUCACCUCUGGGACGAGCCGCUUCUGCCUCUGCUCCAAUGAGAAGAGCGAUGGUGUCAAACAACUCACUCAAAAGCGGUUAAAACCCUCGAUGCAGGCAGCAAGAGAUGCGUCUCCUUACCGUCUUCUUUCCAACCUGUUUCUCUGCGCUCUCGCCACACCUCCUUCCCACCAAUCUUUCUCAAUAAUCUCCUCCCCUCCAGGCCAAACAAUGCUUCCGUGUGUGUCUGGUAACAUGAGCCAAAUCCUAUACUCUGAGGGUGCUCACAUCUGUGGAAGGGAAGCUUGUCUGAGGAGUCUAUAUUUGGCACCUGCUGCAGUGCUGGAUACUUAUAGUGUACUGGACCUGGGCGUGUACAAGGGAAGUUAAUCAGCAACACACACACACACAUACACACACACACACACACACAGAGAAACAUACUGUGCACAUUAAGUGAGUUUUAAGUAAACUUUCUACUUCACAUAAAGCAAAUACCCUUAAAAAGCUACACACGUUAAGCAAAAAACGAAUAUGUACUGUAUGUUAAAUGUUUAAACUGUUAUGCUCAGUCUUGAGUAAUGAACUUAGUGUCUUUUAAACAUACUAAUAUUAUACUUAAUUUCUAACAAUAUAGAAUCACUACAAUAUAACAUAAGCCUGCACUUACCUGUACACAUGUACUAUUUUCAGAGACCAUUAAUUUCUUUUUUUCUACUAAUGGUUAUUAUUUUCCCAUUUAUCCUACAUAAAUAACUACUGAUUUAUAUUGAAUACAUUAGAAAUACUUCUUAAAUAGAUCUCAAACUAGUAAAUAUCAUACACAAAAGCAAGUAUGCUGAAGUAUGUGUAUCUUAACCACAAAACCAAUGUAUUUAAAUAAUCACUUAUAAUUUAAUUGUGUCUCAUGAAAGCGUAAGAAAGUGCAUUUAGAGGAACGGUUUGGCAUUGAUUGUUGGUUUCUUGCUGAGAGUGAGAUACCACACUCAUGACUCUGUGGUCAAUAAUAUGAAGCCAGCGGCCAGUUAGAUGUGUUUAGCACAAAGGAAAUCACUGCACUCAGCCAAAUGAUAGUUUAACACAAAACCCUAAAAGCUCAUGAACACUGCAACUGUCAUUUUGCACUGAUUGUGUAAAGAGGUGUUCAACAUAUAAUAUUUUAAUGAUGCCUGAAAAUGUGAUCUGAGUAUAUAGCCCUAACACUUUGCACUGGUAUCCACUGAACUAAACCUUAACCAUAGCCCAAACCCUAAACAAACCCCACACAGAAGUGAGGCCAACAAACUGUCUCAUUUAGAAGGAUUCUCCUCAAGUUUACAUCUUUGAUAGGACAUUCGGUCCUGUAUUGCAAUGAAAGGACACACAGUCACACACCCAGCCAGAAGCCCCUAAUGAGGCCUGUCCCUGAUAAUGGAGGUAAACAGUGCAGCCUAUCUGGCCUCUGCCCCUGCUGACACGCUGCCAGCUUUGCCUUGGUUUAUUUAUACACGCCUGAUCUUUCAGCACUGGCUCUAUGUUUGGUGAGCCUCAAAAUAGAAAUAAUUAGGACAGGGAGGGAAAAGAGGAAAAGUGAAAACGUGUCAGAACGCGCAUAUGCUCCAAGCUGACCCCCUCGCCCCAUCCUCUGCCAAUCUCUCCAUCCAUCCCUGCUACGCUGUCUCCGCUUUGUUUUGUUUUGUACAGAUAGAAGCAGGCCAGCAGAAGAGGGCUGGAGACAGUUGUGUGUGGUCUGGAUUGGGUGGCCAUCCGCCGGUGAAAUCGGCCGAAGCAAAGUUAUCAAGUCUUUAAAAUUACCACACACUAGGGUCCUGAUACCAUCUCUGAUCCCUGUCUGGGCUUUUCUAGGUCUUUCAACCCCUUGAAAAAUAAAUGAAUACUUAUAUGAAUAUGUGAGCAACUGGUUCAUUAUC